CAACAACAAUCUAUAGACUCAUUAGCUUCAGUAGUAGCACAGAAUAGAUGUGCCCUUGAUGGCCUUAUAGCUGAAGUAGGGGGUACCUGUGUAGUCUUAAGUGAAUCGUGCUGCUUCGGAAUCAACACUCCUAAUCAAGUAGAAGAAAACCUACAGAAGACUGAAAUUCCAAGGAUAAAUGGAAAUGAUAGCUUCAGCUUUACUCGGGUGCUUCUACUGUGUUUGGGUAAAGAAGUAAGGCAAAGGCAGAUACCCAAAGAGAGAACUGAUGGCCAAUCCUGAAGAACAUCUCAACCAAAAUAAGGCUAAAGAGGAGAAGGAAAAGGAGAAGCUGUCUUCCUGGUCUCAAGGUGGCAGAGGCAGAUAUGUGGGUUUAUAUCUUAUAAAUCCACAUAUAAAAGCACACCUGCAGUUAAAAACCAUGCUGUUCAAGGGUCAUGCAGUUGAAGAGAUCUGGAAGUCAGGUUUUUUCAUGGAUCUGCGGAUUUCAUAACACAGGAAAAUAAUGUGUUAUUCAAC
rnacentral:lncRNA from 1 species